UACGUAGGGCGCAAGCGUUAUCCGGAAUUAUUGGGCGUAAAGAGCUCGUAGGCGGUUUGUCGCGUCGACUGUGAAAACCCGAGGCUUAACCUCGGGCCUGCAGUCGAUACGGGCAGACUAGAGUUCGGUAGGGGAGACUGGAAUUCCUGGUGUAGCGGUGAAAUGCGCAGAUAUCAGGAGGAACACCGGUGGCGAAGGCGGGUCUCUGGGCCGAUACUGACGCUGAGGAGCGAAAGCGUGGGGAGCGAACAGG
rnacentral:rRNA from 1 species